rnacentral:rRNA from 1 species
AUUGAACGCUGGCGGAAGGCCUAACACAAGAAAGUCGAACGAGUGGCGGACAGGUGAGUAAUGUCUGGGAAAAAGCACGAUGGAGGGGGAUAACUACUGGAAACGGUAGCUAAUACAGAAUAACAUCGGCGGUGCCCAGAUGGGAUUAGCUAGUAGGUGGGGUAAAGGCUCACCUAGGCGCAGAUCCCUAGCUGGUCUGAGAGGAUGACCAGGCACACUGGAACUGAGACACGGUCCAGACUCCUACGGGAGGCAGCAGUGGUGAAUAUUGCACAAUGGGCGCAAGCCUGAGGCAGCCAUGCCGCGUGUAUGAAGAAGGCCUUCGGGUUGUAAAGGACUUUCAGCGAGGAGGCGUUACUCGCAGAAGAAGCACCGGCUAACUCCGUGCCAGCAGCCGCGGUAAUAC